GCGACGGCGGUCCAGCGGAGUGGACACUGGCUUGCCAUGCCGGAGAUCACGGGUUCGAAUCCCGUCCGUCGCU
rnacentral:tRNA from 1 species